rnacentral:lncRNA from 1 species
GGAGAGGGCAAAGGAAGAGGAGCAUAUGCUGCGCCUCCAAGAGAUUUCACCUGGGGAGGGGGAUGAUUUCAAAAUAAGAAGACUGACAUUAACUUUUCAUUUGAAGAUGUCUGAAAAUGGGAGGCUUACAAAUUAAUCCCCCCUCAGUGGGGAGUGAAGGAACCAGAUUGAGGUGUGCCUUGUCAAAAGAAGGGACCCUGCCUCAUUCCCUGUGCUCUGGAGGUGUGAAGAGCAUUCUAUGUCUGUUUCCCGGCCCCUGAAUGGAGAGGCACAGAGGCUAGCAGAGGCGUCAUCCUGGCAUACUGCCCUGGACAGCAGUGCAGAAGUUCUGGAUGCCGAGAAGUCCAAGAUCAAGGUGCCAACAGAUCCAGUAUCUGUCCACAGGACCUGCCCAUCUAAAUCCUAUGAGAACAGCGACGCUCCCAGGCAAACUUGUGAUGGAGAUCUGGCCAGAGCCUGUCUUUCUCUCUUCUUGAUGGAAGACCCUCUUCACCCUAAGAUUCUACUCUGAUCCCAGUGUCUAGCCUUACCAGCUAGCCAUAUUACAACCAUGUAAACUGAGUAAUUUAAUUUCUCUGUGCCUCCAUUUUCAUGUGUGUACAAGAGGACUGACAAUGCCAACAUUUGUUGAACUGUAAUAAUGACGGGGAACAAGCUAUGCAGAACACUUAACAUACAUCUGGCACAAAGUAGGUUGUUAUUUUUCCCAUCCUCAUAGCCUCACUAUCUCAACUAUCUUAUUAGUCAGAAGGCAAAAUUCCCCUCUUUGACAUAUAGACAGCAUAGGCAAGAAUUUAAAUGUUUUCCCUCCCAAGGCAUUUUACUAGCAGCAUCUUGAAAAUCAAAGCACCUUUAAAGACAGAAAGGAAUCCAUUUCUAACAGAAAAAAGUAAAAUUCUCUACCACAAUACGUUAUUAUCCUAAUUAAGAUAUCCCAUGGACCAAAUCCUUUUCCUAAAACAAUGAAAACAGCAUUUUAACUU